ACGAACGCUGGCGGCGUGCUUCACACAUGCAAGUCGAACGGAAAGGCCCUGCUUUUGUGGGGUGCUCGAGUGGCGAACGGGUGAGUAACACGUGAGUAACCUGCCCUUGACUUUGGGAUAACUUCAGGAAACUGGGGCUAAUACCGGAUAGGAGCUCCUGCUGCGUGGUGGGGGUUGGAAAGUUUCGGCGGUUGGGGAUGGACUCGCGGCUUAUCAGCUUGUUGGUGGGGUAGUGGCUUACCAAGGCUUUGACGGGUAGCCGGCCUGAGAGGGUGGCCGGCCAAAAUGGGACUGAGAUACGGCCCCGGCUCCUACGGGGGGCCAGAGUGGGGAAAAUUGCACAAUGGGCGGGAGCCUGAAGGAACAACGGCGGGUGGGGGAAGACGGGCUUCGGGGUGGAAACCGCUUUCGCCUGUGACGAAGCGUGAGUGACGGUAAUGGGUAAAGAAGCACCGGCUAACUACGUG
rnacentral:rRNA from 1 species